UAGGAGGUGGUGUAAUGGAAGCACUAGGAGUUUUGAUCUCCUGAGCAUGGGUUCAAUCCCCUUUCUCCUAA
rnacentral:tRNA from 1 species